CAAUAGAGCAGAUCUAUGUGAUGGACGAUUCAAUAGAGCAGAUCUAUGUGAUGGACGUUUACAUAGAGCAGAUCUAUGUGAUGGACGUCUAAAUAGAGCAGAUCUAUGUGAUGGACGUCUAAAUAGAGCAGAUCUAUGUGAUGGACGUUUAAAUAGAGCAGAUCUAUGUGAUGGACGUCUAAGUAGAGCAGAUCUAUGUGAUGGACGUCUAAAUAGAGCAGAUCUAUGUGAUGGACGUCUAAAUAGAGCAGAUCUAUGUGAUGGACGUCUAAAUAGAGCAGAUCUAUGUGAUGGACGUUUAAAUAGAGCAGAUCUAUGUGAUGGACGUCUAAAUAGAGCAGAUCUAUGUGAUGGACGUCUAAAUAGAGCAGAUCUAUGUGAUGGACGUUUAAAUAGAGCAGAUCUAUGUGAUGGACGUCUAAAUAGAGCAGAUCUAUGUGAUGGACGUCUAAAUAGAGCAGAUCUAUGUGAUGGACGUUUAAAUAGAGCAGAUCUAUGUGAUGGACGUCUAAGUAGAGCAGAUCUAUGUGAUGGACGUCUAAGUAGAGCAGAUCUAUGUGAUGGUGGGGACUUCAUAGGACGUUUAAAUAGCUGACGCCAUUCAUAUUGAAUUGGUUCUUAAUAUGUACAUUGAUAUUUUUGUUGGUGUGUUUUAUACUUCUUUUUUAAUUUGACGGUGCUGAAGCUGGGUGGCUUCACGUCGUUCCAAGUCCAGACUCAAGUCACUCCCUGAGUCUCCUUGCUCGGGCUCUGAGCUAUGUUCUUAGUGUGUGGUCACAUUGGAGGCCCGAUAUCUCAGUAAUGAAAGAGGUUGUAAGAAUAUGGUGUUUAACACAUCUUCAGUUGUAGGACAGUAGCAAUAGGUUUUGUAGUCAAGGUUCGUCAGUGAUCGAUUGAAUAUAUAUACAUCUUUAUUUUUUUUCAAAAAAUAAAACAUUUGCUGUUCCUGA